rnacentral:lncRNA from 1 species
GCAGAGGCAGUUUUAUUGCAAAUUCAUCAGCAAAUUCCAAUGUAAAAGAACAAAAAUAAAAAAGUUUGAGGCCAUUGUUGAAGCCUUUGACUGCACCGAGAUCUCAACAACACAAAUUGUAAUUCGCAAAAGAGAUGUGAAAUUUGAAAGAAAAUGUAUCUGAUGAUAAACAGGGAAGAAGAAUAUCCAACAACAUUCAUUCAAAUAAGAGAUGAAAUUGCAAAAGUUCUGUGCAGUUCAAGGGUUUCUUUUCAUGGGCAGAUAUAAGUUUUUUUUAUCCAUCUUUUCAAGAAUUAUCAACGUUGGUGUCUUAUGACAUCAAUUGUUGCUCUUCACCAUUUUUGUAUCUGAAUAUAAUUUUGGCUUAAUUAAAUCAAAAUUGAAUGAUAUUACAAUAACGAUUCUUAUGACUUAGUUUGUGAAAAAUAUUUUGUAUUAUUUAAUAUUUUUAUCCAUUUAAUUGGUAUAUAAUGGUGAAGAAAUUUUUAUUGCAUGGUGUUUAAAAGUGUAAGUGGCUCAAGGGAAAAGGAACAAUCGUGCGUAUGAGGUAGUUUCCAAAUUAGUUUUCACAUUAUGAAUUAUGAAUGGAUUUUGAACAGAAAUUGAAUUUCUGAUAGCAUUUUGCAAGCUUUUACAUUCUGAAAUUUUACCUUGUGAAAUGGCAAUUCGUUUAUGCAUAUAUUGAUU